UGAACAACCACAAGUUUCAGAUGGAGAAAGCUUUUCUUCAACAACAACAACAACUACAACUACAACAAUUGAAAGGCUCCAACAACACCACAAGCAAAGGAGGAGGUAAUAUCAACAAUAUGCAUAGUCUUAUGGUUCCUCCUAAAGAUAAGAAAUCUGUUAAGUUCAAUUUGCCUGAGGAAGAUUCUGAUUUUAGUGGUGAUGAGUUUGAUGAUGAGUUUGAUGAUGAUUUCGAUGAUGAUGAUGAUGAGUUUGAUGAUGAAGAUGAUGAGUUUAGCCAUGGACAUGGACAUGGACAUGGGCAUGGCUUACCUAACAAUAUGAUGCCCAUGAUGGGCAAAAAAGGAGGGUCAUUUGGUCCCAAUGACCCCAAUGGAAUGAUUAAUUUCAAUGCUAUGAAUGGUAAGAAAGGUGGGGAUGGAGUAGGUACUGCCAAGAAAGGUGAAGUUAUUGACUUCCCUGUUAUGAUGAAGGGAAAGGGAGGAGGAGGAGGUAAUGAGGGUAAAACCAGCAAGGGAGGAGGGAAGAAAGACGGUA
rnacentral:misc_RNA from 1 species